rnacentral:rRNA from 1 species
UACAGAGGUCCCAAGCGUUGUUCGGAUUCACUGGGCGUAAAGGGUGCGUAGGUGGUGAGGUAAGUCGGAUGUGAAAGCUCGGAGCUCAACUCCGAAAUGGCAUUGGAAACUACCUUGCUCGAGGGUUGGAGGGGGGACUGGAAUACUUGGUGUAGCAGUGAAAUGCGUAGAUAUCAAGUGGAGCACCAGUGGCGAAGGCGAGUCCCUGGACAACUCCUGACACUGAGGCACGAAAGCUAGGGGAGCAAACAGG